rnacentral:rRNA from 1 species
GACGAACGCUGGCGGCGUGCUUAACACAUGCAAGUCGAACGGAAAGGCCCUGCUUGCAUGGUAUUCGAGUGGCGAACGGGGGUGCAACACAUGUGUGCACCGUCCUCUACUUUUUGGUAUGCCUUAAGGACUGGGUCUAUAAUCGGAUAUAGCAUCCCAUGUAGUGUGGGGGGGGGUGGAACUUUUCGGCGGUGGGGGAUGGGCCCGCGGAUUAUCUGCUUGUUGGUGGGGUGGUGGACUACCAAGGCGUGGACGGGUAGCCGGCCUGAGAGGGUGGACGGCCACAUUGGGACUGAGAUACGGCCCAGACUCCUACGGGAGGCAGCAGUGGGGAAUAUUGCACAAUGGGCGGAAGCCUGAUGCAGCAACGCCGCGUGGGGGAUGACGGCCUUCGGGUUGUAAACCUCUUUCGACAGGGACGAAGCUUCGGUGACGGUACCUGUAUAAGAAGCACCGGCUAACUACGUG